rnacentral:rRNA from 1 species
AACGCACCUUGCGCUCCUUGGUAUUCCGAGGAGCAUGCCUGUUUGAGUGUCAUUAAUAUAUCAACCUCUUCAGCUUUUUGCAUGUUGAGUGUUGGAUGUGGGGGUAUUUUUUGCUGGACUCUUGAAUCUGAGGUCAGCUCCCCUAAAAUGCAUCAGCGAAACAAUUUGUUUACCGCUCAUUGGUGUGAUAACUAUCUACGCUAUUGACGGUGAAGCAUGUUUGGCUCCUAACAGUCCAUUAACUUGGACAAACCUCUUAUUAAUGUGACCUCAAAUCAGGUAGGACUACCCGCUGAACUUAA